rnacentral:lncRNA from 1 species
CUGAUGCCCUCCAUAUUCCGCUGCAUCUGAAUCUAGCACAAUUUUGAAUGUACAGCUCUUAAGGAAUUCACAACAGUUGAGGAGUUGAAUGAGACAUUGUAAAAUACGUGCUGAGAGAGCAAUUUAGAAGUGAGUUUUUGAGCAGUGUUAAAUCAUAAUUUGUGCUAAGAACUCAUUUCUUCUUUUAUAGUUUUAUGUCUGAAAGGGGCUUUAUAGGCUAUCUACUGCACACACUCAUGAGAUCCCUGUUAUACUUCCAUCACGACUCACAAGUGAUCACCCAGCCUGGGACGAAACAUACCUAAUCUACUUUUCUCUUCAAGCAACCCAUUCCACUUGUUAUAAAUUCUUCUCCAUAUUGAAUAGAAAUUUUGCUCCUUGAGAUUAUAUUAUUUCUACCAAGACAAGCCAUAAAGAAUAAGUUCAACAUGUAGUCAUCUUUUAAAUAUUUACUAAUAGUUAUACUAUCUCCAUGUGUCUGCUAGAUAUAUUACUAAAUACAUACAGUCAGUCCUCCAUAUCUGUGGAUUUUGCAUCUGUGAAUUGAAUCAAUUUCAGAUAAAAAAUAUUCAAAAAAGAAAUGCAUCAUUGCAUCUGUACUGAACAUCUGAUUUUUCACAAUAAGUUGUUAGAUAGUAUUAGCAUAUUACAGCAAAAUUAAUAAAAGCUAUCAUUAUGUUCAAAUUUAUUAGGCUCAAAAUGUCUAGAAAUGGUACUUGAUACAAAAAUCUAUAAUUAAAUAUGCAUUGGUACCUUAGAAAUCUUGUUUCUUCUAGCCUAAGUAGAAAUACAGAUAAUUUAAGUGCUUUUUGUUUUGAUUUCCUGGAAAAUAUAUCAUUAAUCUCAGAAAUGUUAGUAUAUUAUCAUUACUGCAAACAUUAUCACAUUAAUAGAAACUGUGAGCAAGGAACAAUGAGCCAUCAUUUUCAACCCUUGAAAAUCUUUGUCUAAGUCAGAGAUGAAGAUGGACACGCUACAGAAACUUUUUCUAGUAGUGUUGCCUCCAUUUUAGUCAAUCCAGGUCAGCCUUCUCUAAUUCAAACUGAAACUGAUAAUCAGAAUAUUACUGAGUUGAGAAAGAGAGAAAGACUGAGAUGCAAAUGAUGACUACCAGGCACAGGGACAUUUAAAGUCACUCAAUAUAGCUGAAAAUGAUUUCAGCCUACCAAUAUAUUUAAUGCUGAAAUAUGGAUAAUGAAAAUAAAUAAUCAAAGACAUGGCAAAUAAUGAAAUAUUGUGGAAUUUAAAAAAAACUAUUAACAUAGAAGUUUAGCUUUUGUUCUUCAAAAUACUUUGACAAAUCUUCCAAAAACUAAAACAGUACAGUUUAGAGAGUAAUGUUCUAGAAUACUUUAAAAAACAACUGAAUUAAAAUACCAAUUAAUGAAUUACUGGUUCACAACGUAGGCUUUUGAUAGCAGUGGCUAAGUAAGGCAAGCAUAUCAUCAAAAGCAAUGGUUCCCAACCUAGGUGUUAAGAAUCACUGACUGGUAGUCAUGUUAUUGUAAGUUCUCACUGAGUAAGUAGUUAUGUUAUUACAAGGGGUUGGGAAUCUAUAUAUGCAUUAGGCAUUGUCUAAAGACUAAACUAUGUUGUUAUACACGUUUGACACUGUAUUUCAAAGAACGUACAUGUUUUUACUAUUAAAAUGCAGAUUAUAUUGUUCCCUUCUUUGUGUCCAUGUUACUCAAUGUUUAGCUCACACUUGUAAGUGAGAACAUGAGGUAUUUGGUUUUCCGUCCCUGCGUUAAUUCAACACACACCAGGGCCUACUUGAGGGUAGAAGGCUGGGGGAGGGUGAGUAUGGAAAAACUACCCAUCAGGUACUAUGCUUAUUACCUGGGUGACAAAAAAAUCUGUGCACCAAACCCCAACAACAGGCAGUUUGCCCAGUAACAAACCUGCACAUGUACCCCCUGAACCUAAAAGUUAAAAAGAAAAAAGGAAAGAAACCAUUAGACCCAAACAUUUAAUGUGCCUUUUACACAACGAAUGAUCAAUUAUGGGAAUGUGACAAGACACAAGAGCUUGUGCCGGGGGCAGUAAAUUGUGGGAAAACAACGAGGAAAUAUAUGGGGGAAACUGAUGGAAGACAGGGGUUAUUUUAGUAGGUUUGUUUGUACAGGUCUGUUUCGGCAUGGCUUCCCAAUGUCUGGUGACGAGAAUGUCCUCCUAUUCCCGGCACAGGAAAGACAACUUUUUCACGGGCAAUUUUAUGAUUUGCUUUUAGGUAGAAAGGAGGGGAUCAAAGAGCUCUUUCUCCAUCUCUUGUUUCUCAAACAGCUUCAGCUCAAAAUAAUCAAUAAGCCAAAGUGGCAUAUUUUGGGGUAGCAUGUUCUGAACCCGUUCCUAACCAAAUUCAACUUCUCACUAAUAGUAGAGAUGAUUAUUUCCUCCUAUGAACACUUUCAUUUUAGUCACCUGAAUUACAAUUUUUAAAAUGUUAUAGGAAAAUUAUUUAAGGUUGCAAAACUAAAAGUAAGAAUUCCCUCAUUUACUUAGGGGCACUUUUUUUUUUUUUUUUUUUUUUUUUUUUUAAGACAGGGUCUGGCUGUCACCCAGGCUGCAGUGUAGUGGCACGAUCUUGCCUCACUGAAACCUCUGCCUCCCUGGGCUCAAGCAAUUUGUCCCACCUCAGCCUCUCAAGUAGUUGAGAUCACAGACACAGACACAUGCCACCAGACUGAUUUUUAUAUUUUUCGUAGAGAUGGGGUUUCACCAUGUUGCCCAGGCUGGUCUCGAACUCUUGAGCCCAAGCAAUCUGCCCACCUCGGCCUCUUAAAGUGCUGGGAUUAAUGAGCUACCAUGCCUGGAAUGCUUUUUUUUUUUUUUUCUCUUAAUAAAGGAGAAUGUUCUCAACAAAAUUAUUUCUCUGACACAGAAUUAAAUAAUAUUUAAUCGUUAUUUUCAAUGUUAUAGUAAAAUAAAAAUCAUGUGUCCAUCAUUUUACAUGCUUUUCCCACAAUAAAGUACAGACUGAGCUUCACACACCAAAAAAUGCAAUUUUAAAGUCACAAAAUUUAAUAGUUUUUGUGUAUACUUUUCUCAAUCAAAGGACAGUAAAAGAACAAUUGCUAUACAAGGAUUCAUUUCUCUUUGACACUGAAAGAGAUCAUCAUAUUGAAAGUGUUAGAAUCUACUUACUUUAUAUAAUUGGUAGCCAUAAAGGAAAAGCUUAUGAAAGCCAUAGAGAAAGUUUCAAAACAUCAAUUUAGACAUGUUUCUCUGGCCUAUAAUUUAAAGAAAAAAAUUUUCUGUGUCCAAUUGUGCAAUCACCCAGUUCUGUGUCUACAUUGCCCAGGGAACACAAUAGCUUCCUUUAGAAAAUGUGGCCUUUAAAAUCCAGAAAUUUCUACAAAUUUAAACACUAAGUGAAAGGUAAUGCGUGUGAAAGAGCUUUAUAAUUGUGAAUUGCUAUCAUAUAUUAUUCAAGUAUCAGGAAACUACAUGUUUUAGGAAUACUGCUUAGAAUUAGAACAAGCCUUUUCAAGCAGGUUAUUUGAGCAACUGAUUUGUUUGUUUUACACAUUCUCUCACUUGGGUACUCCCUCACUCUCUCUCAUGUGCACACACAUACACACAGAUGCACACAUAUGUACAUACAUGAUAUGGGACCCACACAGCACCACAAUUCCUACAUCAUCCUUUUUCUGUGAAAAUUUAUCUCUGAAAAUAUGACUCAAAGCCAAUGUAUACUUAUUUUAAACUACCUUCGUUAUAUGGUUUCCAAUACAUAGCACACAAAAUAAAUUUAGCAGGACACCUUAAAAGGUCAUCUGUUAUCCAUAGCUACCUCCCUAUGCCUAGCAGAGGACCUUCUCCUAAUAGGUUCCCAAUUUCCCAAUAAAACUUUGAAACUGAUAUUCAGAAUGACAACACUGACUUACCAAGAAAAGCCAAAUUACAUAUAUUGUUUUUUAUAAUUGAGGAAAGUACAAUAAAUUAUCUUUACUCCCCCAUUCAUUUACUAAGUACAUACAAUGUACAAGAUAUUGUGCAAGAAACAAAAAUAAGGAAGACAUGGUCUUCAUGUACAUGUGACUCACAGCCUGUAAAGGGAGAUUAGGCAUGCAUAUGAACAUGCGUAAAUAGAGCAAAAAGCAAUAUGCAAUGAGAGGGAGAGUCAAGGAAGAAAAAUAUGAGGGACGAGCCAUAUAUGAAGACUUUUGAAGGCUGGGUUAGGGUCUUAAGACUUAUUUUAUUAGUUAAGUGUGAUAGUGUUUAAAAUUCUUGAGAAAGUGUAUCACAAUAAAAAAAAAAUUAACCCGGAGGUUGUAAACAGUAUAAAACAGACGGCGGAAAGACUAAGUCGGGAAAAGCAGUCAGGAGUCUAACAACAGUCCAAGGAUAGUUAAGUAUGGCUAAUCUCUGACUGUGGGAAAGGAGAGACAUAGACUGAGUUUCAGAAGUACAAGUGACAGUAUUCAAAAGUAAGGAAACUGAGACUGAAUUAGGGAAUCAGAAGUGGAAGGGAAGAGCAGUUGUGCCCAAAGGCAGACAGCUUGUUAAGUGGUAGAGUUGGGAGGUGCGCGUAAGUCAAAUGUAGAUCUGAUUACUUUACUCUCUAUAUGCGGCACCAAUUUUAUGCCAAGAAUACGGCAGUGUUUUCAUAUACAGUUUCUUGUUUAUUUCUCAGGUUGAAAUUCUUCAUAUUGUUAUAUUUGAGAUAAUUCAUAAAGGAAAGAGGUUUAUUUUGGCUCACAGUUCUGCAGACCAUACAUAUAGGAAGCAUGGUGCUGGCAUCUGCUUUUGGUGAGGGCCUUAAGAAGCUUACACUCAUGGCAGAAGGAGAAGGGGUCCAGGAAUGUCACAUGGCAAGCAAGGGAGCAAGAGAGAGCAAGGAGGAGGAGUGAAGCUCCUUUAAGCAACCAGCUCUCAUGUGAGUGAGAAGUCACUUGUUACCAUGGGGAGGGCAUCAAGCCAUUCAUGAAGAAUCCUCCCUCGUGUCCCAAACACCUCUACCAGGCCCCACCUCCAACACUGGGAAUCACAUUUCAACAUGAGAUCUUAAGGGGACAAAUAUCCAAAACAUAUCACAUUCCAAGCAUAAAGAGGACAGAAUGAAAAUGACAAGAGAAGAAUAAAAAUAGAAAAAUCAGAUAAAAUGAUAUCCAUCUAAAUUACUGACAUAAUUAGAUAUACAAGAUUGCCAUUCCUAAAAGUAAUGUUGAGGUCUGAAUAUCUGAGAUUUACUAUACUUGUUCUAGUCCAUUUCUUAUUUGGUCCAUUUGAUCAUUUUAUUAGUAAAUACAAAACACUGGAUCAUAAAAUUUACCUUGUUCAACUGGAAAAAAAUACAGUGGGAAAAGAAUGAAAAUUUUUUAAUAGUUUUUUUUUUUAAAGGAGAUCAAAUAGGUCCCUAUCAGUUUGGAUAGCAUUUUAAAAUAUUAUGAUUUCUUAUUUUAAAUUCAAGAGCUUCCUAAGUAUUUGAUAUAUCUAUCAACAGGUUGAAGUAGAUAAGUUUUCAGCCAUUAUUUUAUAAUCCAUGUCCUUAAAUUUGAACCAAGGAAGAGCCAGUGUUCUGAAGGAGGCCUGUACUAAUAAGAUUAAAGAACAGUGAAGGCAUGAAGACUCUUAAAUUCAAUGGCUCUUCAAAUACUUCAAAAGCUGCUGUGUUUGCUCAGGCACUUGAUAAAGUGUCUGUUCAAAGUAUAAGGAUUUUGAUGUAAGAAGUACUAUCAUUUAUAUCAUUCUGCACUAAACUCACUUCACUCCCACUGAUGAAGCUAAGGAAAUUUAUUGUAAGGUACAACCCUUGAGGUUUCAAAUUGAGUGACAAAAAGAAGAGUUCUCCAGUGACUAGACGACUAUAACGAUGGCAGAGCGGGUAAGUUACAAUGUAUCUUCAAAUCUAAGACAUCACCCAUUUCAAGAUGAAUUAUUUUAUAUAUCUCUAAUAAAGUGAAAAAAUAUCACUACCACAUCAAUAUUGUAAGAUACAUUCCAACUGAAGACAGGCUAAAAUGUGAAAUAAUGUAGGUUUUUGGAAUAUGAAUUUAGCAUGUUAUUUUAUAUUUAAUUCUUUAAUCAAUCCAUUCAUAUUACCAUGAUUAAAAUAAUGCCCAGGAGCUAAGUGACCCCAGGAAAGAGAAUUUAUACCGAAGGCAGAAAAUAUCAGGUUCAAAAUUCUAAGGAAUGUUUUAAUUAAUGGAAAUGUAAACAAAUGUCUGGUAGGGUAAGAACAGUUGCUGAAAAGCAAGGAGAGUUUCAUGAUUUUAGUAGUCUGAAGAGAUCUAUACAGCACAGGGCUUGCCACAAUGUUCCAACACAAUCCUUCCCUUUUUAUGUUACAUGGAUUGAAUUUUAUUUAUUGCUGGUUGUACUCCAGAAAACCUAAGGUUAUAGCUAUCUAGCAUCUCAAAUAGAUCUGUCCAUUUAUUUUAUAAACAUAGCCAAAUUAUGCCUACUUUAUUGUCCUGAAUCACAGAAAAGGCUAUGAACUACAACUUUCAGUUUCUUUCUCUAGUCUCUUUCCAAAUGCAGGAGUGGCAAAGACUUGUGAUAUAUUACUACAUAGAUAAUGUGCAGGUCUGUUAGUGUGUGGUGGAGGGGUGUCGUGGUCGGGGGGUGUGUGUCUAUGUGUGUGUGUAUUUGUGUAUCUUAUUUAGGUAAUUCUAUCUUUACUUCUGUGAUCUAGAGUACACAUUAAACUUAAGCAGUCAUCAUUAAAAAUGACAGUUCUGCUAGCUAGCCAUUUGUAGAAGACUGAAACUGGACCCUCCCUUACACCAUAUACAAAAAUUAACUCAAGAUGGAUUAAAGACUUAAAUCUAAAGCCAAAACUAUAAAAACCCUGAAAGACACCCUAGGCAAUACCAUUCAGGACACAGGCGAGGGCAAAGAUUUCAUGACGAAGACACUAAAAGCAAAAACUGACAGAUGGGAUCUAAUUAAACUAGGGAGAUUUUGCACAGAAAAAGAAAUUAUCAACAGGGUAAAUGGACAACCUACAGAAUGAGAGACAAUUUUUGCAAACUAUGCAUCUGACAAAGUUCUAAUAUUCAGCAUCUAUAAGGAACUCAAAUUUACAAGGAAAAAAACAAACACACCAACAAAAAAGUAGGCAAAGGACAUGAACAGACACUUUUCAAAAGAAGAUAUACAAGCAGCCAACAAUCAUACGAAAUAAAGCUCAACAUCACUGAUCCCUAGAGGAAUGCAAAACUACAAAGAGACACCAUCUCACACCAGGCAGAAGGGCUAUUAUUAAAAAGUCAAAAAAUAACAGAUGCUGGCGAGAUUGUGGAGAAGAAGGAACACUUAAACACCAUUAGUAGGAAAGAUAUAUUCCUACCAAUAAAUUAGUUUGAACAUUGUGGAAGACAGUGUGGUGAUUACUCAAAGACCUAAAGACAGAAAUACGAUUUAACCUAGCAAUCUCGUUACAGGGUACAUACUCAAAGGAAAAUAAUUCAGUCUAUUAUAAAGACACAUGCAGGCACAUGUUCACUGCAGCACUAUUCACAAUGGAAAAAUCAGGUAAUAAACCUAAAUGUCCACCAAUGACAGACUAGAUAAAGAAAAUGUGGUACACAUACACCAUGGAAUGCUAUGCAGCUAUUAAAAAGCAUGAGAUCAUGUUCUUUGCAGGGACAUGAAUGGAGCUGGAGGCCAUUAUCCUUAGCAAACUAACACAGAAACGGAAAACCAAAUACUGCAUGUUCUCACUUAAGCAGAGCUAAAUAAGGAGAACACAUGGAUGCAUAAAGAGGAACGACACACUCUGGGGCCUACCAGAGGGUGGAGGGUGGGAGGAGGGAAGAGGAUCAGGAAAAACAACUAAUGGGUACUAGGCUUAAUAUGUUGGUGAUGAAAUAAUCUGUACAAUGAACCCCCAUGACACAAGUUUACCUAUAUGACAAACCUGCACUUGUACUCCUGAACUUAAAACAUAAGUCAAAAAAAAAUGAGAGUUCUGAUAUUUUAAUUACUUUUCAAAACUAUUUAUGGCCAUGUGACCUUUAUGAUUAUAUUUCUUUCAAUGGAAUAUCCAGUUAGUUUUUUUUUUAAUCUCCCUGACUUUAGCUUUUAAAAAUCCCCCAAUAUUAUAAUAUUUCUAAAAUAAAAUUUAUAAGAAAGUAAUGUGGAAUUAAACAGAGAACUUGCCCGGGCGCAGUGGCUCACGCCUGUAAUUCCAGCACUUUGGGAGGCCGAGGCGGGCAGAUCACGAGGUCAGGAGAUCGAGACCAUCCUGGCUAACACUGUGAAACCCUGUCUCUACUAAAAAUACAAAAAAUUAGCCAGGUGUGGUGGCGGGCACCUGUAGUCCCAGCUACUUGGGAGGCUGAGGCAGGAGAAUGGCGUGAACCUGGGAGGUGGAGCUUGCAGUGAGCCAGGAUUGCACCACUACACUCCAGCCUGGGUGACAGAGCAAGACUCCGUCUCAAAAACAAACAAACAAAAAAACAGAGAACUUACUAGCGAAUGUAAUCAAAGCAAAUUUUAAAAUAUAAAAAAGCCAAAUGCAACUUUUUUCUUUAUACAUAUAUGUGUGUGUGUAUAUAUAUAUGUGUAUAUAUAUAUAUUUGUUGUUAUUAGAUUACCUUAAAAUUUUAAUGACCUUGAAAAAAGCAAGAUCUUCAUGCAUAAGCUAAAUAUGCAUUCAAAUGUGUGAACACUGUCUUCGUUAAAAGUUUAAAUGACAACCGUACAUUUUAAUUAAGUGCAAAACAGAAGCAUAUUUCUAUUAUAGUCUAGGAUGUGCUCAUUUCUUCAACAAAAGGUUUCUGGUUUUACACUACAAAAUAAACUCCAAUCCCUGCAAGUAUGCUUCUUCGGCCAUACAUUUUUAGAAACUGUACAAUGCAAAAUAGCAAUAAGACAAGCUCAAAGGAUGAGGGGCUCAAAUGUCACUAUCUACCAGGUUAAUUAUUGGAUUACUAUGCUUUCUGAAAUGUAUUUUCAUGCAAAUUAUUAGUUUAUUUUUAAGCAUGCUUAAUGACACACAUCAGUAAAUAGCAAAUCAAAUGGUAAUACAAAAUUUUGAGUACUACCUAUUUCUCUAUGUAAAUAGGACAUUUAUUCUAAAUACUUUACGGAAUACUUCUGACUAACCUACUUAGAAACUUUUCUGUAUCCUAGAAGAUUAUAUAACUUAAACUAAAAAAUGUCACUGUUUCUCAAUAAUUUGAGAAGGAAGAAAAAUAGAAAAAUGUGCUCACACUUCUGCACUAACCUCUCCCUAAAACUGCUGCUGUCUGUCUGUGCCUUUAGGAUUAUCCAAAGAACUUGUAAAUUCAAUUAUCUGAUGAAGCGAUGGCAAUUAUUUAAAACUGAAAAAGAAAAAAAUAACAGAUUUUUAUUCACCUUUUUAACCACAUCUUUUAUUAUCAAAAUGAGUUUACACCCUGCAGACUCAACACUUUUUUUAAAAAAAAUUGUGCUUUUAAACUCAAAAUAAUUUUGAUUCAGGCUAUAAACACCUUCCCCCAAACAAACUUACUCUGGGAACAGCCUUCAAUGCAGUCAAGUGCAAUAUAGCUAAAUAAAAACAUAAUUGGAAACGGGGACGUCUCUGAAAAAUAAAGACAAUCAUAAGCAGUAAGAAAGCAUUAUCUGAGCCAUUUCAGGCAGAAAGACAGGGAUAGGAGACAGCAUUCUAAAACACUAAAAUAUGGUGAGUAUCUCCAUGAGCUUUAGGGUCUAACAACUGCAUUCUAAUUCCAGUCCUACCAAUUGCUAACUGUGUGUCUCUGAGUAAGUUACUUACUUCCUGGAGGCUCAGUCUCUCAUCUGUAAAUGGAGGUAACACAUCAGAGGGUGGGUGUAGAGAUUAACUGAAGCAAUCUAUUACUGAGUGCUUAACACCCUAUGUAGCACUGGGAAAAGUACUCAAAUUACUAGCUGCUGUGGCUAUUAUUACUAUAGACCCUGGCUCACUUAAAUUGCUGUCUCAAGAGAUGAAAAAUAUAAAAGUGGGUCUAUUAAUUCUUUAUUUUACUUUUUAUACUUGACUUGGCCUCUUCUUCCUUUAUGAUCUUUAUUUCUAUUCCUCUUUCUCUGUGUCUUUGUUCUCACUAGAAUUUGCUAUUUAAAAAUUUUUACAUUAAAGUUUAAUCAUACAGUACAUAGAACUCUUUGAGGACUAGAGUCUUUUUUUAAAUUUUAGGGUUUGUCUUUUUUUUUUUUUUUUUAUAAAAAAGAAGGUACUUCUCAAGUUUAUGAGAAAUACUGAGAGAGCUUUUGGUGACAAUCCUACCUGAAAAUUAAAUACCUACACACACUCUCCUGCACCUGCCUUGAUUUUUCACCAUAGUAUUAUCAGCUUUUAACAUAUUAUAAAUUUAAUUAUUACAUUUUUGCUUCUCAGCCUUUUGGCUAAGAUCAAGUGUAGUAUCUGUUCUUAUCAGUUGAAUUUUUGUCUCUCACUAUUAAAAUACAAUCUAUAUAAGAAAUUCCUUUUUUUUCUCUGCCAUAUAGGACCUAGAUUAGAAUCUGGCAUUUGAGUGAGUGUCUUUUCAUUAUUUUCCUUUGCAGUCUCCUCCUUGGGUUUUAAUUUUUAAUCUAUGCAUGUUUUUGCUAAACUUUGAGAAAUAAUUUCAUACUACUUUGGUCAUCAAAGACCAAACUUGAAUUUUUCCCUUUGUUUCACAGAGUUAACAUGUAAGAUCUGUAUAAAUAUAACUUCUAUCACAAUUCCAUUUCAUUAUCUAUAAAGUUUAACUUAGACAUUUUAAAAGAUUUCAUAUUCUUUAUAAAUUUAUAACAGAAUAUUUAUAAUAUAAAAAUCCUUCAUUUUGGAUAAUUUAUAAUAAAUGCAUGUUAGUUGGAAGCAAUUAAUUCUCAAGUUAACUAUUCUGAUUGGUAUGAGCCUUGAAGAGAAACAUUUUAUAUAAUUCUUAGUUGACAUGGAUACAUGAUUCCAGGUUUAUUCAAGUCAGCACAAACUCAAAGACUUUCCAUAUCUACUUUACUGGUUAGCUUUCUCUAUAAAAAUGACUGAACUUAAGCACAGAACAUCAAAGGGGUUUGUCAAAAUAAUAUAUCUAAUAUUUUGGCAGGGCCAGAAUAUGCUCUUAGGUAUAACAGUUUCUACCACUCUACCACCAUCUUGCAGAUAAAGCCUGCAAAGUGCAUAAACUUUAAUAUAUUUAAAAUCUGGAAAUCUGAUUAUUUUAGCUGUGGUGGUAGAAACAUAAUUUUUCUUUAUUUGAAGUCUUAACUUACUUGGCGUAACAUAUAGUUAAUGUAUAGUCCUCUUUCUCUUUUAAGACUAGAUAGAAAAUCACAGUACAGGUCUCACUCAGUGCUUUAGAAAGCCGAAGAACAGGGGCUAAACUAGUGUCCCAUGAAAAACUGUAAAGCAAAGCUUGCAGGUGUGCAUAUCUGCAUCAUCACUUCAGUCUUUCCUGAGCACUUCUGGGCACAUAGCCCAUAACUACAUCAGAUUAAUUAUUGUGAGGAGAAAGAUUCAAAGUAAACAUUUCCCCAUAUGCAUUUAAAAAAUUGGGUACAUUUUAUACUGUUUGGGUGAUGGGUGCACCAAAAUCUCAAUCACCACUAAAGAACUUACUCAUGUAACCAAACACCACCUGUUCCCCAAAAACCUAUGGAAAUAAAAAAUAAAAAAUAAGCAAAGGGAGUUUUAAACACACAUGCACGGGGAUAUUUUAUACAAACUUUCAGUUAUAAGAUGAAUAAGUUCUGAAGCUGUAAUGUACAAUACAGUGACUACAGUUAAUAAUGUGUUAUAUACUUGAAAUCUGCUGAGAGCUGACCGUAAGCAUUCUCACACACACACAAGAAAAUGGUCACUAUGUGAGGUGAGGAAUAUGUUAAUUAGCUUGAUUGUAGUAACCAUCUCACAAGGUAUAUGUAUAUCAAAACAUCACACUGUACUUUAAAUAUAGAUAAUUUUUAUUUAUCAGUUAUGCUUUAAAACAAAAAUAAACAAUGGGGAAAGGACUCCCUAUUUAAUAAAUGGUGCUGGGUAAUUGACUAGUCAUAUGAAGAAGAAUGAUAGUAGACCUCGACCUUUCACCAUAUACAAAAAUUAACUCAAGAUGGACAAAAGAUUUAAAUGUAAGAACUCAAACUAUAAAAACCCUAGAAGAAAACCUAGGAAAUACCUUUCUUGACAUCAGUCUUUGCAAACAAUUUAUGGCUAACUCAUCAAAAGCAACUGAAACAAAAACAAAAAUUGACAAGUGGGACUUAAACUAAAGAGCUUCUGAACAGCAAAAGAAACAAUCAACAGAGUAAACAGACAACAUACAGAAUGGGAGAAAAUAUUUGCAAGUUAUGAAUCUGACAAAUGUUUAAUAUCCAGAGUCUUAUGGAAUUCAUAAGGAACUUAAACACUCAACAAGCGAAAACCAAAUAACCCCAUUAGAAAAUGGGCAAAAGACAUGACCAGACACUUCUUACAAGAAGACAUACAAGCGUUCACCAAACACAUGAAAAAAAUGCUCAACAUCACUAAUUAUUAGAGAAAUGCACGUCAAAACCACAAUGAGAGACCGUUUUACACCAGACACAAUGGCUAUUAUUAAAAAGUCAAAAAACAACAGAUGCUGACAAGGCUGCAGAGAAAAGGGAACACUUAUAUACUGUUGGUGGGAAGUAAAUUAGUUCAGCUCCCGUGUAAAGCAGCUUGUAAAUGUCUCAAAUAACUGAAAACAGAACUACCAUUCAACCCAACAAUCUCACUACCGGCUACAUAUCCAAAGGAAAAUAAAUUGUCCUACAAGAAAAAAAAAAAAAAGACAUAUGCACUUGUAUGUUUAUCACAAUACGAUUUACAAUAGGAAAGGCAGGGAAUCAACGUAGGUGCCCAUGAAUGGUGGAUUGGAUAAAGAAAAUGUGGUAUAUGUAUGCCAUGGAAUGCUACACAGCCAUUGAAAAGAUGAAACCAUAUCUUUUGCAGCAACAUGGAUGUAGCUAGAGGUCAUUAUCUUAAGUGAAUUAACACAGGAACAGAAAACCAAAUACUGCAUGUUCUCACUUAUAAGUGGGAGCUAAACAUUGGGUACACAUGAACAUAAAGAUGGAAACAAUAGAUACUGGGGAUUACUAGAGCCGGGAGAGUGGGAUGGAGGCAGUGUCUGAAAAAAUACCUACUGGGUGCUAUGCUCACUACCUGGCUGAUAGGAUCAUUCACAACCCAAAACUUCGCAACACACAAACAAAAACAAAAGCAAGCAAACAAAAGAACCUCAUGUAACAAACCUGUACAUGUAUGCUAUGAAUCUAAAUAAAAGUAGAACUUAAAAAGAUAUAUAUACAUACAGCUGGAAAAAAUUUUUCCACUAACAUUCAUCUGUGCUUUUGAGUGUCAGAAACCAGGAUGGUAUUACCCUGCAGAAAAACAUUUAGUCAAAGGCAUCAUUAACCUCUACAAAUAUAAAUAGAGAAAAAAACCAAAAUUAGUGAGACACACUUCAUGUACUUCAAUGGCAUUUCUAGAGGGCAACAAAAAGAUGAAUUAUCUGGUGACCAAAUGUAAAACUGUACUGAAUUUAGAGAAACUAGAUUUAAAUCACAUUUAUUCAAUGACUAGAAAUACGACCUUGUGAAAAUUAUAAAUCUUUCUGAUCCUCACAUGUAGAUUGAGGACAAAAAAUGCUUGCCUAACCAGUAUCACUGGAGAUGAUGUGAGGAUAAGAUGGGUUAAUGUAAGUAAAAGUAUUCGCAUAUUGUAAAUUGCCAUGCAAAUUUAACUUUUGGUACUAAUUUUGAUCUCUUAAAAUAAGCUUGUAUUUCAGACACAUGAUUCAUACGACUAAUUAAAUUCUCAUAAAAAUUGAAAAAAAAUAAGCUUAUAUAUAUCUUAACCCAAGUAAUUUUGUUUAAUUUGAAUGGGCUGAGCUAGGUUAUACUAGAGUUUUUCAGUUUCAAAAAUUUAUAAUUCCAUGCUGCCCAGUUUUGCCUAACAGUCAUUAAACAUCACAAAAUUGCCCACUGCUUGGUGAAUAGGGCAUAGGUCAAGGUGGGGAGAAUCAUUAGGGAACAUCUUCAUAGAGCUGAUAGCUGAAGGGUGGGUGAAUUUUUCAGGGAAAAGUGCAAGAAAAAUGAAUAAAUGGAUUUAGAUCUUAAAAAAGAUAACAUGAAGAAUAGGUGGAAAGAAAAAGAAAUCAAGACAGUGCUGCAGGAUACAGAGAAAGGGAAAUAAGAAAGAAAGGUGGGCAAAUAGUACAAGAGUGAGGAAGAGAUUUAACAGGGAACAGAAGAGUUUCAAUUCCAGUACUGCGAAAGGACUGAAAGGAAUCACUGUGUCGUGGUGAAAUGGGAACUAGGACAUGCGAAAAAACAAAAAUCAAAAAACAAAACACUAUGUGCUAGAGGGCAAAGAGUUGGAGUUCUGUCUUAGGAAAAUCAAGGCCCGGAAAGGCAAAUAUAUCCUCGUUUUGUCUUCACCCAUGUAAUAAAGGUGUUUAUUGUUUUGUUCCCCCAAAAAAAAAACAAAAAACAAAAAGUAGGACAAUAGAAAAAAGACAACAGACAGGAUUAGUACCUAUUUGUCUUUCUUUUUUAUAAAAAUUCAUUUUUAUUAUAAAGUUUCUAAUGCAUUUUUAGAAGAUGAUGACAGUAAGGAUGUCCAUUACCCUUACUACUUGCUAAGCUCAAACGUGGGCGACACUGUUGUUAAGCCUUGCAUGCAUGUUAACUAAUCAUGAACUAAUUUAAUUCUGACAACAAUUCUAUGAAUAGGUGUUCUAGAGAUAAUAACCAAGAAACAAAGAGGCUAUUUUCAAAACAAAACUAAGUGGCAGAGAUGGAACUUGAACCUCAGAUAGUCAAUAUUCUAGAGCUCAAGCUAACCACUAUCCUUGCAAUGAGAGCAAAUUUCUUUAUGUUUACAAAUAUAAGAACAAGAAAUACCUAUUACCUCUGGAGACCUUUGUUACAUGAGCCAAUGGGAAAUAAAAAUGUUAGAAGUAGAGAACAAACUGAAGAAAAUAAUGUUUCAGAAUUAGAAAAUAAUGCUACUACAGGAGAAAAUUGUUUUUCCUUUGUUUUCUUCAGCUGGCAAAAAGGACAGAUGUUAAUAGGGAGGCUGGCAAAGUGAAAAUUGGCUCUCUCUCUAAAUAAUAAAGAACACAUGAGAAAAAAAAACCCAGUAAUGUUUAUAAUUUUACAUACAAACAUAAUAAUUUUUCAUUUUAAUUAAUGUUCUUGAAAUAAAAUGAUCAUUGUGUGACAAUAAAACGUACUGAGUGUAAUCAUUUCAUUCAGUUAUAUGUUAAUUAAAUAAUUUUAUUUGAUAUUAUCUAAACACUUUCCUUAUUCAACAGCUGAUACCACAUAACUACAAAAAAUAACCAUAAUUAAUUUUGUAAAUUAAUGCUUAUUUAUAGGAAUUAAUUAGGCAUUUUCCCAUCAUUAGGCCAACAGAAACUACAUUAAUAGAAUUAGAGAUGGUUCUUAUGCAUGAUUACAACUGAAUCCACUGCUUCCAAGAACACACUGUUUUUGGCUCUAAUAUUUCCAACUUUCUCUGAGAAACAGAAACUUCUUUUGGUUGCAGCUUUCAAAAAUGCUUAGGAGCCCGUAGGUAAUUUUAGCGAGCCAGUAAUUAUAUCACAUCUUAAUUUUAAGAAAUCAUCUGGGAUACUCAGGUAAUACUUUUAUGUAAAUAAAACACUGACCACUCAGUUUGAUCCUGUGAGAUUCUGAUUAAGAAGAGCUUCACGGAAAAUGUCAGAAACACGAAUAAUAUCUCACGUAGGCAGGCAGGAGAUACUCAUUGAAAAAGGUAAUUUCUACUGGCCAGAAGGAAAAGUAAUAUAACAUCCAUGUCAUAAAUUUAGUUUAGACAUAGAAUGCUCUAUUUAAAACACACUGGUAUCAGGUAUAAAGAUGACUAAUACAAUUUAUUUUUUAAAUAGAAAAAAAAACAUAUAUUUUGGAUAAAUUAAGUAAAGCCUAACUUUAAAAGGAAAGGCUCAAUGUGAAAUCUUUCAGGCCAAUGAUACUACUGCACCAGCAUAGCUCAUUUUAUCGCACUUUAUUGCACUUUACAAAUACACAUUUUUACAAAUUGAAGAUUUGUAGCAACGCUGCAUCCAGCAAGUGUAUUCGUGCCAUUUUCCAAUAGCAUGUGUUCACUUUGUGUCUCUGUGUCACAUUUUGGUAGUUCUUGCAUUAUUUCAAACUUUUUCAUUAUUAAUAUAUAUUAAUAUAUGAUUGUCUAUUCAUAAUUAUAUUAUUUUUACAUUAUCAUUAUGUCUAUGAUGAUGAUCUGUGACCAGUGAUCCUUGUUACUAUUGUAAUUGUUUUGGGGCACCACAAAUCAUGCACAUAUGCAACCACAAACUUAAUAAAUGUGUGUGUUGACUCCUCCAACCUACUGGCCGUUCCCUUGUCUCUUCCCCUUUUCUUGGGCCUCCGUAUUGUCUAAGACCAUAUAGAAUUUAGCCCAAUUAAUAACCCUACAAUAGCCUCUAGGAGUUCAAAUGAAAAGAAGAGGGGCAUGUCUCUCACUUUAAAUCAAAAACUAGAAAUGAUUAAGCUUAGUGAGAAAGGCAUGUUCAAAGUUGAGACAGGACAAAGGCUAGGUCCCUUAUGCCAAAGAGUUAGCCAAGUUGUGAACGCAAAGGAAAAGUUCUUCAAAGAAAUAAGAAGUGCUACUCUAGUGAACGCAUGAGUGAUAGGACAGUGAACACCAGCCUACUGCUGAUAGGAAGAAGUUUUUGGUGGUCUGGAUCUAAGAUCAAACUAGCCACAACAUUCCCAUAAGUCAAAGCCUAAUCCAGCAAGGCCCUAGCUCUCUUCAAUUCUAUGAAGGCUGGGAGAGGUGAGGAAGCUGCAGAAGAAAAGUUUAAAGCUAGGAGAGACUGGUUCUUAAGGUUUAAGGAAUAAAGACAUCUUCAUAACAUAAAAUUUUAAGGUGAAGUAGCAAGUGCUGAUGUAGAAGCUGUAGCAAGUUUUCCAGAAGAUCUAGCUAGGAUAUUGAUAAACGUGACUACACUAAACAAUGGAUUUUCAGUGUAGAUGAAGCAGGCUUCCAUUGAAAGAUGCCAUCUGGGACUUUCAUAACUACUGGGAAGACAGUAUCUGGUUUCAAAGUUCCAAAGAACAGGAUGACUCUCUUGUUAUGGGCUAAUGCAGCUGGUGACUUUGAGUUGAAGCCAAUGUUCAUUUACUGUUUCCAAAAACCUAUGCCCUUAUGAAUUAUGCUAAAGUCUACUCUGCUUGUGCUCUAUAAAUGUAACCACAAAGCCUGGAUGACAGCAUGUCUGUUUACAGCAUGGUUUACUGAGCCUGUAAGCCCAAGCUUGAGACCUAUUUCUCAGAAAAAAGAUUCCUUUCAAAUAUUACCUGAUUGAUGAAAGCAUCUGGUCACCCAAGAGCUCUGACUGAGAUGUACAAGGAAAUUAAUGUUGUUUUCAAGCCAUCUAAUACAACAUGCACUCUGCACCCUAUGGAUCAAGAAGUAAUUUCAACUUUCAACUCUUAUUAAGAAAUAUAUUUUGUAAGACUAUAGCUGUCAUAAGCAGUGAUUCCUCUAAUGAAUCUCGGCAAAGCAAAUUGAAAAUCUUCUGGAAAGGAUUCACCAUUCUAGAUGCCAUUAAGAACAUUUGUGAUUCAUGGGAGGAGGUUAAAAUAUCAACACAAUAGGAGUUUGGAAGAAGUUAAUUCCAACUCUCAUAGAUGACUUUGAGAAACUCAAGACUUCAGUGGAAGAACUAACUGCAGAUGCAGUGGAAAUUGAAAGAUAACUAGAAUUAGAAGUGAAACCUAAAGACGUGACUGAAUUGCUGCAGUCUCGUGAUAAAACUUUAAUGGAUGAGGAAUUGCUUCUUACAGAUGAGCAAAGAAUAUGGUUUCUUGAGAUGGAGUCUAUUACUGAUGAAGAUGCCAGAGAUGGCAACAAAUGAUUUGGAAUAUAAUAUAAACCUAGGUAAUCUUUAUCAACUAAGUGGUGGGGUUUCAGAGGAUUCACUCUAAUUUUGAAAGAGUUCUACUGUGGGUAAAAUGUUACCAAACAGCAUCACAUGUUACAGAGAAAUCUUUCAUAAAAGGAAGAGUCAAUCCAUGUAAUAAACUUCAUUGUUGUCUUAGCCACCACAACCUUUAGAAACCCCACCCUGAUCAGUCAGGAGCCAUUAACAUCAAGGCAAGAGCCUCCAUGAGCAAAAAGAUUAUUACUUACAGAAGGCUCAGAUGACCAUUAACAUCUUUUAGCAUACAGUAUUUUUAAAUUAUGGCAUGUACAUUUUUUUUUAGACAUAAGGCUAUUGCACACUUAUUAGACUACAGUAUAGUAUAAACAUAACUUCUAUAUGUAUUGUGAACCAAAAAAUUUGUGUGACUUGCUAUAUUGCAAUAUUUGCUUUAUUCCAGUGGUCUGGAACCCAAUCUGCACUGUCUCCAAGUUAUGCCUGUAGAUUGCCUUCUUCCAUAUUUGCAGUCUAGGAAAAGAAAUGGUUAGCUAAUGUGGUAAUGAGUAUAAAAUACUUUCAGAGUGCAGGACAUAUAUUAAGUUUAUAAGAGACAGUAGAUCUUAUUAUGAAGAUCUGCUCAGCAAGCACAUCAUAGUAUAAUAAUAUAUUAAUUGUGAAUUCUACAAAAUUAUGAUGUAUUUUAUUGAUAAUAGCUUAUCAAUUUUUAUACCAUUUAAUUAAAUUACUGUUUUAAGGGAGAAGCAAAUCAUUUUAGUACUAUUUGUCUUUUAAUUACAUAAUUUUAAACCUUCAGGAGUUAUUUCACCACUAGGUAGCUACAUACUCCAUUUAUCCAUCCAUCCUUCCAUCUGUCAGUCAGUCUAUCAGUUCAUCAACCCCUCUAUCCAUACUCCUAUCAGAGAUUUAGCUCUCUGUUUACAGGUACCUAGUGUAUUCUAAGUAAACAUAUCAUUGUUGAUAUAUAGGUAAUACUCUGUCUUAUCAUCCAUCUCGAAGUUUACAAACACAUAAUAGUAUCUCCUUUUUAAAAAUUGAUGAAAAUGAUCACCUUGGGCACAAAUGUUCCUCCCCCCCAAACCCCAAUGAAGGAUACUAUUACUAGGUGAUUAUGCACUGUCUUCUUUAAAGGUUAUGACAAUAUUUCUGAUAUAUUUUUCCUCCAGAAGGGCAAGAAAUAGAAGACAGAAAUUUUGACUGGGCUAUUGUUAGAUGACUUUCUGAAGUGAAGAGACCAUCAUUGCACAACUGAGCUAUGAAACAAAAAAACCAGAACUGCUGUUAAAUAUUUGACAGCACCGUGAUGGCUAUUCAAAACAACAGGCCCCUGGUCCCCCUUCAAGAAAAAACCCCAAAACUAAAUACAUUCGUGUGCAGUAAGGACUUGCUCACUAUUCAUUACUGCCUAUAAUCUUAUGAAUAUAUAUUAAGGCAAUCUAAAAGUGUUAUAGCAGUUGCAAUAUUUUAAUCAUGCAAAAUAUUUUUCUUACUUGGUGAUUCAUCCCUAAUUCCUGGGUAGAGAAAUGAAGCUAAAUCAUAGGCUUUUUAUGACCAGGGAGGUGAGGGUACUGGUCUGUCAUUAUCAUUAAAUCAUAGGGAUUGUUAGACAGUGUUUAGCAAUGAAAAAAUGAUCAAAAGGACCUCUAUGUUUAAAAGUAUUAGUCAUUUCAAAACUAAAGAAAGUGAACCUAAGCAAUGAGCAUGCAUCCAUUAUAAAGCUAUUUUAAAAAAGGAGGACCUAUAUUAAAUAUAAAAUUGUUAGUAGGAUCAUCUGUCUCAGCUCUCAUAAAGCUCAUCAUCAAUAAAUUGCAGCAUAACAUAAAGGAAAAAGAAACAUGCCUGUAUCUGGUGAAAGUCACUGUGUAGAACUUCUGGAGAAAACCCUGAAUUUGCUUUUUUACCAAAGUAUCUAAAACCUGGAAAACUAGAAAGUUGAGAUGCUCUAUUUAGUCAGACCAGAAAUUAUCCUUUACAUAUAUAAUCUGGAUAGAAUGUGGUAGUUAGCUAAUCCUAAAUUAAGUCCUUUGUUUUUAUUUGUUGCAAAAAGCAUAGAUUCUAAUAAACACAGUGUUACAUCACCACACUUCAAAGCCUUCUGUAAACCAAGCAACUCAUAGCAACAUCUCUGCCUUCAGCAAUCACACUGCAGUAAAUCAUCCAAGUGACCUUAUUUGCUUAUUAGAAACUCUGUGUACAGGUUGCAAAUGUCAGAGUAUGAAUUUACAUUUUAAAAAGUGCAUCUUGCAGUGGUUUAAUGAAAAUAUUUCAACUAUCUCAGGUCAAAUUCAACUAUUUAUACCUCUGCUCUCUUGGGUUUAAAGAUUUAGUCCUAGAUUCACAUAUUCUUCACAAGCCAUACCUCAUGAACACUCCUCUUAACGUCACAACAUUGUAACAGUUUGAAAUGCCAUUUGGAAAGGGGGCUGUUACUACACUAUCAUUUCCACUCCCACCUCAAAAGUAUGCUGAUAAAUAAUUUAAACAUUUGAUUCUUGUGUUGUUUAUGGUCUCAGAAUGAUAUUUAUCUGUAUAUACCAACACAAACACUUUAUAAAUAAGCUGGGGGGGGUUAAAAUUUCUAUUGUAUAUCAUGUAUUAACUUAAACUGAUGUAAUACAUCAGUUUAACUCUGAAAAUAGAACCAUGACACAUUCAUAUUCUACUCUAGAAUACAGAAAAAAAAAUCACAAUAAUUGAACUUCACAUGUAAGUUUUGCUUUAAAAUUAUUUUUCUUCUUGUGGAAGAUGGCAAACAAGAUCACCAAGAAGAAUUUCUGGGGAAGAAUUUGUCAGAGGUUAUGGCAGGGCAGUGAGAAAAGUGAGUUGAUUAGAAAGAAACCUGCCUGGGCCACAAGUCUGUAUGUAAUUUUCUUAUUCUACUUAUAUUCCCAGAAGUAUUUUCAAAAUUAUUUUGAACAUUACAGAAAUAAAUCAUCAAUAAUACCACCAUUGCUACCACCCCCAACCACAUGUACAUACUCCAGGAACAGAAAGAGGCACCAGGGUGUAACAGAAAGAAUAUGGGCUAUGGAAAACACUGCUUAACCUUUACCUGCCAUGGGCUGGAGGGAAGGCUUCAGUUAAUUAAAGGCCUCAGUCUCUACAACGUGCCUUAUAGUGUGGCCCAAAAUACAGUCACAAGUUGCUUUGUGCACUUCACUUUAUUGUGCUUUGCAGAUACUGUGUUUUUUUCAAAUUGAAAGUUUGUGGAAACCCUGGCUGGGCAACUCUGUCGGUGCCAUUUUUCUAACAGUAUAUGCUCACUGCAUGUCUCCGCAUCACAUUUUGGUAAUUAUCGCAACGUUUCAAACUUUUUCAUUAUUACUAUACUAUAUUAAACUGAAUACUUUAUAAAAAUGAUUAGCAAAUAGAAGGCCCACAAAAGAGGGGCCCUAAUACUCACAUUCUCCCCACAUCAUUUAAAAUGUGGUAUAAUCAUUUGUAUUGUUCAAAUGCAUUAGAAAGAGCACUCUGGUCUUGGGAACAGAGUAUUCUUUCUGAUUUAAUGCCAACUUGAUAAUGUUCUAGGUGAAGAAAUGCCACUAAAGAAAUAUAAUAAUGAUUCUGAUGAUAUAAAAGGCAUUAUGUUUCUUUCUUUACAGCUAAACAAUGUGAAAACUUAAGUGAAUAUAAUACAUCAGGAAAAUGUAUUUUAUCUUUCUAAGCAUGAAAUAUGAAACCUGCCUAUUUAUUAAGUACAUGUAGGUCUCAGCAUUACCCACAUUUCUAUCUAUUGCAUUAAAGAAUAUUGGUGAUUAUUACACUGAAGAUUAGCAGCUAAAAAGACAAAUGUGAGAGUAUACAGGCAAAAGGUUUUUGUUGUCGUUUUGUUUCUUGAUUUUUUUCCUAGAAUAUGGCUGUAGAUUCUACUGCAGAAACAAUUAUAAGAUGUCCUUUGGUAGUCACCAUGAAGGCCACAUUCAAAGCUUUAUUGAUACAAAUCAGUCUUGCCUCUCAGUUUUCCAAACGUAUUCUCUUAUUUUGAAGAGAUAGUUAAAAGCAUCCUUAGUGUUUCUUCUACCUUGCCUGGCAUUACCUCCAAAACAGCUCCCCUUCCAACAGUUUUUGGGAUGGCAGUCACCAUCUAUUCUCCACAGGUUUGAGUGAAAAUUGAUGUCUUGCUAUUUGAUAUACAAGAUCUACAGGUUCAAAAAAAUUGAACCUGUUCAAAAAUUCAGACAUGUUACCUAUAGCAGGGUUAUAUUUCCUAGGGACAGAGGAAGUUUAAGUGGCUUCUUUAGAAAAGUUAAAUUUAUUCUGGCACCAAAUCCUGCUUCCCAGGGAAUUAAAAAUUUGAUGAAUUUUAUUACUUGAUUAACACAUGCAAUCUUGCCAUGGUAGACUCUUCACAGUAAAAAUCUGUAUUCAAUUCACUUGCUCAGUAGUUAGAAAUACCAAUGGCAUAGAAUAUUUUGCUAAAGACAGAAAAUAUACCAUUGAAAUCCUAAUUUUUAAUAUUUUGUAUAUCUGAAUUCAUUCUAUAAUAUUGAACUACACUGUAGGUUAAAAGUACAAGAAUAAAGUCAGAAAGAUAAAAGGCCAAAAUGAGACAAAAAAUGCAAGGGAGAAGAAAAAGGACUCUUAAAGCUAAGCUUGGAACAACAAAAAGUUAAAAGAAGAGAUCCAUUUGCUGGUUAUGGGAGAUGCUACAAUCCUAACAGAUUAAUAACAGAGAAUUGUCCUGUAAUAUUCUUUUAUCUUUUCUAAUAGGUUAGAGGGUCAAAGUUAAUAUUGUACUUUUCCAAGUUUAAUGUUAAAUUUGGGAUUUUAGGUUGAAAUUAUUAACUGAAUAAAUAAAGAAAAAGGAAGAUAUGACACAAUACUAGGAUACAAAAGAAAAACCCAAGAUUUUUGUUUGGAUGGAAAUACAAUGUGAAAGGAAAAUGUGAUGGCUGCCAGGAAAGCUAAUGCAACUUUAACUCCAUGAAUAAGAGAGCAGCAUCAAAAUAAAGGAAGGUAAUGGGGCUCUGUAUGUCAUACUUGCCAGACCGUAUCUAGAAUACUCUGCUGUUAGUGUAGGAGGAAUGUGAACAAUGCUGGGUGCAUUUUAAUAAGGGAGAUGCAAUGGUAAGAGGUCUGGAAAGUAUCAUGAGAAUCGAUUUAAGAAACUAGCCAUAUCUGGUCUGGAAGAGGAAAAAGCAGGGAGAGGUGGUAAUCUAAGAAGCAUGUUAAAUGCCUUUCUGAUUUGAAUAGCUGGCACAUAGAACAGGUGUUAGCCUCAGAGUACAGAACUAAUGCGUUGAUUUUAAGAUAACAUUUUUAUUUAUUAAAAAACAAUACUGUUUAUCUUGUGAAACAGUGAUAUUCUUAGCACUGCAAAGUAUUCGAAUAACAGGUGAUUAUUUGUAAGAAAUUUCUAGAUGGGACUUCUGCACUGAACUGGGAGGGUGGAGCAGAGUACCUCACAAAAGGAAGAUGUUGUGAUUUCAGUCUCAGAGUUAUGGCUGGUGUUAUUAAAAUAUACUUAAUUAGAAGGUGCGUUGUAAAUUAUGUUGGAAAUGCUCUCCUGCUCCCUUCCUGCCCCCCCCAAAUUUAAAAUAUAUAAAGUAAAAAACAUGAUACAAUUCUCCCAUUACCUAUUUAGACCAUUACAUCUUCAAUACUUUGUGAGUAUUCAAAGAGAAUUAUUAAAAUGCAAAUAUUCUCAGAAAAAGCAAUAAUGUAUGUGAAUUUACUACUUGUUAACAGAAAGACAUGGAAGAGAUGGGUGGUAAGAAUAAUUAAAGUCCAAGUGGGCACAAAUCUGUAACAGGCAAAAUGUGGGAAAUAGGUCAACAAUAUUUCUUCAUGGUUCUCUUGGAGACCAAUUAGAUGACUGAGGAUUCAACUAUAAUUUCUAUAAAGAGACGACUCAGUUUUCCAAUGUCUGUAUCAUUGCAACUUAUAACUAGUAUAGCUUCCAGAAGAGGUGACUAAUGUAAAAACAUUGAGUAUUUAUUUAUUAAAAUAGAAAAUUUUCAUGUAAAAAUUACCUAUAGACAUUUAAGCAGAUAACUAAAUUUCAGAAGACCCAAUUUGUGUCAAGAUUUUCAAAACCGAACCAGGCUUUCAUAUACAGUGUAAUUCUGUGUCAGUAUAUAUAAACUAACAUUUGGGGGUCUUGCUGACUUAUGGGGGUCACAGUAAUACACUAUGCUAUAUAAUAUAUAUAAUACAUAUAUUAUUAUGUAUGCUUUCAUAAUAUUCAAUAUUUGUUAAAGUUAAUAUAUUAAUAUAUUUUAGAUAGAUCCUUAUAGCUUGACCCAGGAUUUUUCUCCUAAAUAUCAUCAUGGAAAAUUCUAUACAUUUCCAUUUGUUGACAAUGAUAAAAUGAUUUUUUAAUUUAAAUUUAAAAUUGUUAUGGGUAUAUAGUAGGUAUAUAUGUUUAUGGGGUACCUGAGAUAUUUUGAUACAGGAUACAAUAUGUAAUAAUCACAUCAGGGUAAAUAGAGUAUCCAUCAUCUCAAGCAUUUAUCCUUUUUUUGUGUUACAAACAUUCCUAUUACACUUUUAGUUAUUUUAAAAUGUAGAAUAAAUUACUGUUGACUGCAGUCACCCUGUUGUGCUAUCAAAUAUUAGGUCUUAUUCAUUCUAUCAAACUAUGCUUUUGUAGCCAUUAAGCAUUCCAUUUCCCUCUCACUACCCCACUACCCUUCUCCAGCCUCUGGUAACCAUCCUUCUACUCUCUUAUCUCCAUGAGAUCAACUGUUUUAAUUUUUAGCUUCCAUAAAUGAGUGAAAACAUGCAAAGUUAGUUUUUCUAUUCCUGGCUUAUUUCACUGAACAUAAUGACCUCCAGUUCCAUCCAUAUUGUUGCAAAUAACAAGAUCUCAUUCCUUUUAUGGCUGAAUAGUAUUCCGUUGUGUAUAUGUACUAUAUUUUCUUUGUUCAUUCGUGUACUGAUGGACACUUAGGCUGAUUCCAAAUCUUGGCUAUAGUGAACAGUGCUACAAUAAAAGAGGAGCGCAAAUAUCUGCUCCAUAUACUGAUUUCUUUACUUUUGGGUGUAUACCUAGCAGUGGGAUUGCUGGAUCAUAUGGUAGUUAUAUUUUUAGCUUUUCUGAGUAAUCUCCAUACUGUUCUCCAUACUGGCUGUACUGAUUGACAACCCCACCAACAGUGUAUGAGGGUUCUACUUGCUCCACAUCCUCACCAGGAUCGUUACUGCCUGUCUUUUGGAAAAAAGUUAUUUUAACUGGGGUGAGAUUUCUCAUUGUAGGUUUGAUUUGCAUUUCUUUUACAAUCAGUGAUGCUGAGCACCUUUCCAUACACCUGUUUGUCAUUUGUAUGUCUUCUUGAGAUGUAUAUUCAGAUCUUCUGCCCAUUUUUAAAUAAGAUUAUUAAAUUUUUUCCUAUUGUUUGAGCUCCUUAUGUAUUCUAGUUAUUAAUCCUUUGCCAGAUGGACAGUUUGCAAAUAUUUUUCCCAUAAUGUGGAUUGUCUCUUCCCUGUUUCCUUUGUUGUGCAGAAGCUUUUUAACUUGCUCUCAUCUCAUUUGUACAUUUUUGCUUUGAUUGCCUAUGCUUAGUUUAGGCAUAAACUAUGUCUAAGAUUUCAGUCUUUAAUCCACUUUGAUUUGUUUUUUGUAUAUAAUGAGAGAUAGGGAUCUAGCUUCAUUUUUCCACAUAAGGAUAUCCAGUUUUCCCAGCACCGUCUAUUGAAGAAACUGUCCUUUCCCCAUUGUAUGUUCUUGGCACCUUUGUUGAAAAUGAGUUCACUGUAGAUACAUGGAUUGAUUUCUGGUUUUAUAUUCUGUUCUACUGGUAUUUGUGUCUGUUUUUAUGGCAUUACCAUGCUGUUUUGGUCACUAUAGCUCUGUAGUAUAAUUUGAAGUCAGGUAAUGUGAUUGUUCCAGUUUUGUUCUUUUUGUGCAACAUGUCUUUUGCUAUUCUGGGUCUUUUAUGAUUUCAAGUAAAUUUUAGGAUUGUUUUUCCAUUUAUUUGACAAAUAUCAUUGGUAUUUUGAUAGGGAUUCUUAAUUUCGUUCUUGACCUAGCCUUGGAUUGGUAUGGUCAUUGGUAUACGGCCAUUCAGGAAUAUAUUGUUCUAUUUGAAUGUGUUUGUAUAGUUUCUAAAAUUCUUCUUGUUAUUAAUUUAUGGUUUUAUUCCAUUUUGGUCAGAGAAGAUGCUUGAUAUUAUUUCAAUAUUUUUGAAUAUUUUAGGAUUUCCUUUGUGGCCUAACAUAUGGUCUAUUUUUAAGAAUGUUCCAUCAAUACCUAAUUUAUUGAGAGUUUGUAGCAUGAAGGGCUGUUGAAUUUUGUCAAAGGCCUUUUCUUCAUCUAUUGAGAUAAUCAUGUGGUUUUUGUCAUUGGUUCUGUUUAUAUGCUGGAUUACAUUUAGUGAUUUGCAUAUGUUGAACCAGCCUUGCAUCCCAGGGAUGAAGCCCACUUGAUCAUGGUGGAUAAGCGUUUUGAUGUGCUGCUGGAUUCGGUUUGCCAGUAUUUUAUUGAGGAUUUUUGCAUCAACGUUCAUCAGGGAUAUUGGUCUAAAAUUCUCUUUUAUUUGUUGUGUCUCUGUGAGGCUUUGGUAUCAGGAUGAUGCUGGCCUCAUAAAAUGAGUUAGGGAGGAUUCCCUCUUUUGUUAUUGAUUGGAAUAGUUUCAGAAUGAAUGGUACCAGCUUGUCCUUGUACCUCUGGUAGAAUUCGGCUGUGAAUCCAUCUGGUCCUGGACUUUUUUUGGUUGGUAAGCUAUUAAUUAUUGCCUCAAUUUCAGAGCCUGUUAUUGGUCUAUUCAGAGAUUCAACUUCUUCCUGGUUUAGUCUUGGGAGAGUGUAUGUGUCGAGGAAUUUAUCCAUUUCUUCUAGAUUUUCUGGAUUAUUUGCGCAGAGGUGUUUCUAGUAUUCUCUGAUGGUAGUUUGUAUUUCUGGGGGUUGGUGGUGAUAUCCCCUUUAUCAUUUUUUAUUGCAUCUACUUGAUUCUUCUCUCUUUUCUUCUUUAUUAGUCUUCCUAGCGGUCUAUCAAUUUUGUUGAUCUUUUCAAAAAACCAGCUCAUGGAUUCAUUGAUUUUUUGAAGGGUUUUUUAUGUCUCUAAUUCCUUCAGUUCAGCUCUGAUCAUAGUUAUUUCUUGCCUUCUGCUAGCUUUUGAAUGUGUUUGCUCUUGCUUCUCUAGUUCUUUUAAUUGUGAUGUUAGGGUGUCAAUUUUAGAUCUUUCCUGCUUUAUCUUGUGGGCAUUCAGUGCUAUAAAUUUCCAUCUACACACUGCUUUGAAUGUGUCCCACAGAUUCUGGUAUGUUGUGUCUUUGUUUACGACAAACCCACAGCCAAUAUCAUACUGAAUGGGCAAAAACUAGAAGCAUUCCCUUUGAAAAGUGGUACAAGACAGGGAUGCCCUCUCUCACCACUCCUAUUCAACAUAGUGUUGGAAGUUCUGGCCAGGGCAAUCAGGCAGGAGAAAGAAAUAAAGGGUAAUCAAUUAGGAAAAGAGGAAGUCAAAUUGUCCCUGUUUGCAGAUGACAUGAUUGUAUAUCUAGAAAACCCCAUUGUCUCAGCCCAAAAUCUCCUGAAGCUGAUAAGCAACUUCAGCAAAGUCUCAGGAUGCAAAAUCAUGUGCAAAAAUCACAAGCAUUCUUAUACAACAAUAACAGACAAACAGAGAGCCAAAUCAUGAGUGAACUCCCAUUCACAAUUGC